rnacentral:rRNA from 1 species
GGCUUAUUGAAAGAAGAUUUUAAGUCUAUCCUGCCCCCUGAUAAUAAUUAAAUGGCCGCAGUAUUUUGACUGUGCUAAGGUAGCAUAAUAAUUAGUUUCUUAAUUGGAAGCUGGUAUGAAUGGUAUGAUGAGAAAAUUACUGUCUCUAUUAAAAAGUUAAAAUUUUAUCUUUAAGUUAAAAAGCUUAGAUAUUGUUAAAAGACGAGAAGACCCUAUAGAAUUUUAUUUAAAUUUAUUUUUAUUAAUAAAGUAUUUAAAAUUUAAAGGUAAGGUUAUAUUUAGCUGGGGUGGUUAGAAAAAUUAAGUAUCUUUUUUUUUUAUAAUAACAUUGAUUUAUGAUUAUAUGAUUCAUAUGAAUGAUUUAAGAAUAAAUUACCUUAGGGAUAACAGCGUAAUUUUUUUUUAGAGUUCUAAUCAAAAAAAAAGAUUGCGACCUCGAUGUUGGAUUAAAAU